UACGAAGGGUGCAAGCGUUAAUCGGAAUUACUGGGCGUAAAGCGCGCGUAGCUGGUUCAGUAAGUUGGAAGUGAAAUCCCCGGGCUCAACCUGGGAACUGCUUUCAAAACUGCUGAGCUAGAGUACGGUAGAGGGUGGUGGAAUUUCCUGUGUAGCGGUGAAAUGCGUAGAUAUAGGAAGGAACACCAGUGGCGAAGGCGACCACCUGGACUGAUACUGACACUGAGGUGCGAAAGCGUGGGGAGCAAACAGG
rnacentral:rRNA from 1 species